UACGUAGGUGGCAAGCGUUGUCCGGAUUUACUGGGCGUAAAGAGCGCGCAGGCGGUCGUUCAAGUCGCGUGUGAAAGCCCCCGGCUCAACUGGGGAGGGUCACGCGAUACUGAUCGACUCGAAGGCAGGAGAGGGAAGUGGAAUUCCCGGUGUAGUGGUGAAAUGCGUAGAUAUCGGGAGGAACACCCGUGGCUAAGGCGGCUCUCUAGUACGGUACUGACGCUGAGACGCGAAAGCGUGGGGAGCGAACAGG
rnacentral:rRNA from 1 species